rnacentral:rRNA from 1 species
UACAGAGGUCUCAAGCGUUGUUCGGAUUCAUUGGGCGUAAAGGGUGCGUAGGUGGCGCGGUAAGUCGGGUGUGAAAUCUCGGAGCUUAACUCCGAAAUUGCAUUCGAUACUGCCGUGCUUGAGGACUGGAGAGGGUAGCGGAAUUCACGGUGUAGCAGUGAAAUGCGCAGAUAUCGUGAGGAACACCAGAGGCGAAGGCGGCUACCUGGACAAUUGCUGACGCUCAGGCACGAAAGCGUGGGGAGCAAAAGGG